rnacentral:rRNA from 1 species
UACGAAGGGGGCUAGCGUUGCUCGGAAUUACUGGGCGUAAAGCGCACGUAGGCGGCUUUGUAAGUUAGAGGUGAAAGCCCGGGGCUCAACCCCGGAAUUGCCUUUAAGACUGCAUCGCUUGAACGUCGGAGAGGUGAGUGGAAUUCCGAGUGUAGAGGUGAAAUUCGUAGAUAUUCGGAAGAACACCAGUGGCGAAGGCGGCUCACUGGCCCGGUACUGACGCUGAGGUGCGAAAGCGUGGGGGAGCAAAACAGG